CCGGCCAGUUUGCUCUUCCUCCAGAGUUCCGCGACGCCAGCCCCAGACCCUUUGCGCAGUUGGAUCGCUUCGUCCCGAGGGUCCUCGACUUCCCCAAAACCACAAGUGGCCCCCUCUUUCCGACACUUCCAGGUCAGUGUAAGUGACAGUUCGCUGUACUGAAAACAAGAUUUAAUGAGAGUCUCCAUCCCCAAAGUAAAGCUUAAGCCAACAGUUGUGGAGAGAGAGCGCACAUGUGAGCGAGCAAGCGAAGGGCAGAGAGAGGGGGAGAGCGAGGACUCCAAGCAGUCCCCAUGCUGUCGCACAGAGCCUGACGUGGGGCUUGAACUCACGAACCGCGGGAUCAUGACCCGAGCAGAAACCAAGAGUCUGAUGCUUAACCGACUGAG